CUCCUUCCAGCCACCUCUCUUUAAGACUUUAGUCCCUGUCUUAUCAUGCGCCUGUCCAGUUAAGUUGUAGAGAGUGUGGGUGCUGUGAUAAACUCAGCCUCCACAAACAGGUAUGACACACACACACACAAUACACACACUCAGCCCACACACUCUAGUUGAAUCAACAUUGUUUUCACGGAAUUUCAAUUAAAUUACGUUGAACUAAUAUGGAAUAGAUAUUGAAUUGACGUACUGUAUGUGCCCAGUGGGACAGAUAGAAAGAGAGAUGACCUAAUCUUGGUUGUUAAACUUGACAAAAACAUUUUUUUUUAUUAGAUGUUACAUUUCAUAUCAACUACUCAUGUUGAAUUUGUCUAAUUUAUGUAUUUCAGGCUGGUAUGUCGGGGUGGCCUGCUUUCAUAGAGUUUGGGUGCUGUGAGAAACUCAACCUCCACAAACAGGCUGGUGUAUUGGGGCGACCUGUUCUGUCCUCAGUAUUUCAGACCAAAGCAAGACAAUUUUAAAGAUAUAGAUCUACAGACAGUAUCACACUACCCGGCAAUACAUGGAUGUGUGCACUGCACUCAUUCAAAAGUACUCCUCGUUAAGAGACCAGACAGGGAAGGGAUAUGUAAGAAUUGUUACAUUUUCCUACUCACAUUAAUUCACACACUAGUAACCGUUUUACACCAUUGUGCCUACCCAGAUCAUGAUGUGCUAGCUUGGAUAUAUUCUUCUCACAUUGUUAAACCAUCACAUUUCCAGCAGCAUAACAAGACCAUCUCUAGUUAUGUAAUUGACUAAGUCUGCUUGUCUGACAUCGGUCCUAAUAUUCCGCCAUUACAUUUGUCAUGUACCCUUUACAGCAUGCAGCCGUUCUAAUUCUAUUGAUUCUAAUCCAGCCUUUUUAUUUCACAACCUCCAAUUGAAGUUCUCAAAGUCACUGCAGCCACCCCCCACCACCACCUCAAAGAUAAUCCAAGUGGGCUGAAUGUCACAGACAGUACAAAGUUAGUCGUUAUAGAGUCUAAGGUGUGCUCAGUUGUUAACUUACGGUUUGAAAUAUGACUUCAGUAACCUUUAUUAUAUAUAUUUUUCAUUCCAUCACCUACCGUACCAUAAGGAUAGAGGGGAAUCCCUUUGGAAUGAGAACCACAUCCAACUCUUCUGGAUGGACAGGAGCUACUAACUGAAGAGCCGGAGGACAUUUCCAUGGGAUUGGGAAUGGCAAUGGAGAUCCAUUUCCUUUUUAACUACAGCUAAUGUCAGGGUUAAUUCUACAAGAGAAAAGCUGCUAAAUAGAUAGUUGAAAAUAAAAAGAAGAGAAAUGUAAUGUUUGGGAAAGAACAGUGCAAGAAAUUCUUAAUUCUGCAGGAGUUAUUAUUAAGGCUAUGUGAAAGGAUAUAGGCAUACAGUCUGUGUCCAGACUUCUGUUAUCCUUUAACCCAUCUGAACAGUAUGUUACAGUUCCCUUGACGUGCCAUAGGACUAUUUGAAGUCCCAGUCAGUUGACUGUUGAAUUUCUAUAGCGCAGGAGCUCUUCGGAGCACUCUAAAUUGUUAAAACAUUUGUGUGGCGCAUGGCGAAAUAGUACAGAGCUCAAUUUGGCCUCUGCAUGCCUUCAGAGGCUCCGCAAUUGCAUCAAACCCUCCAUAUGAAGCCUCCGAACACAUUUUCAGAUCAAGCAUUGAUUGGCUUUUAGUCGAAAGUACAGUAAUGGAUGUUACCCAUAUGUGCUGAGUCCAUAAAACACGCUACAUGGUCAAUCCAACGUCUGUAUUUGCCUUGCAGCAUUUACGGUGAUAUGGCCACUCCAGAGGUCAGGGCAUUUCUACUCCUUGCCUUCACGGAGCAGCGCAAAGCUGUUGUAAAGGAAGUGAGCUUUUGUUUAUACAGGACCUUCCUUCCCCACAUACCGUCACCCAAUCAUGUCAAUGUGGAGCUAUACGGUUUAGAUAAACGUCAUAUUAUAUUUGUGUAUAAUUUGCCUAUGGACAAAGUUGUUUUUAUUGAUCCAUAUUUAUUCGACAAAAGCAAUGUAAAAAACAAAUCAUUGUGACAUGUUUAAUUAAAACAUGUAUAAGAGACUUUUUUUAAAGAUCGACAACAUUUUUAUCUGUUCGACGGGUGGAUUUUUCUUUUGUCUAACUUUCUUCAUUGUGACAUAUGCUAAUGUUAAUGGUGUAUAUUUUAUAUAAAUGUCGAUUGCCGAAUGUGCGUGGGGCACAUGAUGUCACGAGUAACUAUAAAACCCCAUUUAAUAUUUAUUUCUAAAUGCCUACUGCUUGCAACAGAACAUUUUCAACUAUAAAAAUAA